GGCCGCAUCGCUCAAUGGUAGAGUGUUAGAUAGUAAUGUCCGGGUUGCAUAAUCUGGUCUCAGCUCACACUGUGUGUUCGAUUCCCACUGCCGCCU